CUCGGCUAAUGUGUCUUGGCUAAUGUGUCUUGUCUAAGGUGUCUUGGCUAAUGUGUCUUGGCUAAUGUGUCUUGGCUAAGGUGUCUUGGCUAAGGUGUCUUGGCUAAGGUGUCUUGGCUAAUGUGUCUUGGCUAAUGUGUCUUGGCUAAGGUGUCUUGGCUAAGGUGUCUUGGCUAAUGUGUCUUGGCUAAGGUGUCUUGGCUAAGGUGUCUUGGCUAAUGUGUCUUGGCUAAGGUGUCUUGACUAAUGUGUCUUGGCUAAUGUGUCUUGGCUAAGGUGUCUCGGCUAAGGUGUCUUGGCUAAGGUGUCUUGGCUAAUGUGUCUUGGCUAAUGUGUCUUGGCUAAUGUGUCUUGGCUAAUGUGUCUUGGCUAAUGUGUCUUGGCUAAUGUGUCUUGGCUAAGGUGUCUUGGCUAAGGUGUCUUGGCUAAGGUGUCUCGGCUUAUGUGUCUUGGCUGAUGUGUCUUGGCUAAUGUGUCUUGGCUAAGGUGUCUUGGCUUAUAUGUCUUGGCUAAUGUGUCUUGGCUAAUGUGUCUUGGCUAAGGUGUCUUGGCUAAUGUGUCUUGGCUAAUGUGUCUUGGCUAAUGUGUCUUGGCUAAUGUGUCUUGGCUAAGAUGUCUUGGCUUAUGUGUCUCGGCUAAUGUGUCUUGGCUCAUGUGUCUCGGCUAAUGUGUCUUGGCUAAUGUGUCUUGGCUAAGGUGUCUUGGCUAAGGUGUCUUGGCUAAGGUGUCUUGGCUAAUGUGUCUUGGCUAAUGUGUCUUGGCUAAUGUGUCUUGGCUAAUGUGUCUUGGCUAAUGUGUCUUGGCUAAUGUGUCUUGGCUAAGGUGUCUUGGCUAAUGUGUCUUGGCUAAUGUGUCUUGGCUAAUGUGUCUUGGCUAAGGUGUCUCGGCUAAUGUGUCUUGGCUAAUGUGUCUUGGCUAAUGUGUCUUGGCUAAUGUGUCUUGGCUAAUGUGUCUUGGCUAAUGUGUCUUGGCUAAUGUGUCUUGGCUAAGGUGUCUUGGCUAAGGUGUCUUGGCUAAUGUGUCUUGGCUAAUGUGUCUUGGCUAAUGUGUCUUGGCUAAUGUGUCUUGGUUAAUGUGUCUUGGCUAAUGUGUCUUGGCUAAUGUGUCUUGGCUAAUGUGUCUUGGCUAAGGUGUCUUGGCUAAGGUGUCUUGGCUAAUGUGUCUUGGCUAAUGUGUCUUGGCUAAGGUGUCUUGGCUAAGGUGUCUUGGCUAAUGUGUUUUGGCUAAUGUGUCUUGGCUAAUGUGUCUUGGCUAAUGUGUCUUGGCUAAUGUGUCUUGGCUAAUGUGUCUUGGCUAAGGUGUCUUGGCUAAUGUCUCUUGGCUAAGGUGUCUUGGCUAAGGUGUCUUGGCUAAUGUGU